rnacentral:rRNA from 1 species
AUGAUCUUAAUUGGGAAAACUGGUUCUGGGAAAAGCACACAAUUGGUUCAGUAUCUUGCUAACUCAGGUCUUGCUGCCAAGGGUUGCCACCUGGGAAGUAUAGUGCUGCAAAUACUCCGUGAUACUUCUGUUUGUAAGGUACCUUAUUCUGCUACACACCAGUGGGAUCCUGGACUUUCUUCUGAAAUAAUUCAUGUGCAUUCACUGGGUACUUUGCAACUCCUUGGACAUGAUUUGGUGCAGUACAUUGAGCUUGGAAGUGCAUUUAGUCUCAGCAUUGCAACGGGUAUGCAGCUAUUGCAGUUAUUGUUGAGAGCGAUGCUACUUGGUGUCAUUCACUCCAAGUUGUGGUUAACUGAUGGAUGGUCAGAGACAAAUAGUGCUCACAAUUUUCCUUGCCUUCAGUCCAGGGAAUGA